GACGAACGCUGGCGGCGUGCUUAACACAUGCAAGUCGAACGGAAAGGCCCUGCUUUUGUGGGGUGCUCGAGUGGCGAAGGGGUGAGUAACACGUGAGUAACCUGCCCUUGACUUUGGGAUAACUUCAGGAAAAUGGGGCUAAUACCGGAUAGGAGCUCCUGCUGCAUAGGGGGGGUUGGAAAGAUUCGGCGGUUUGGGAUGGACUCGCUGCUUAUCAGCUUGUUGGUGGGGUAGUGAAUUCCGAAGGCUUUGACGGAUAGCCGGCAUGAGAGGGUGACCGGCCACAUUGCGACUGAGAUACGGCCCAGACUCCUACGGGAGGCAGCAGGGGGGAAUAUUGCACAAUGGGCGGAAGCCUGAUGCAGCGACGUCGCGUGCGGGAUGACGGCCUUCGGGUGAUAAACCGCUUUCGCCUGUGACGAAGCGUGAGUGACGGUAAUGGGUAAAGAAGCACCGGCUAACUACGUG
rnacentral:rRNA from 1 species